CCCAAAUAAUCUCCCCAAAUUAACACAUUCUCCUUCUCAGUCCUCUUUGACACUAACAACCAUAAAAGCUCAUGUAACACAGCCACAACCCACCUCUCAGAUUAAAACAAAUAAAAAGAUGGCUCAUAUAUCAAUUACUAUAAACAUGAUGCUAUCAAAUAUAUCUCUUCUGCAAGGAAACUACUUAUGCAUUCAUCGUUAAAUAAACAUCUCAAAAAGAUGGCUCAAUGGACAGGUUUUCCAGAUUAAAACGAAUAAAAAGCAGAGGAAGAAGUUAAUUCACCAUCCAAUAAGCUGCAAGCAAAGAACCUGAUCCCUUCACUGCAUAUUUCAAUUAACAAUCUGCCUUUUUUAUUUCUCUGGUUAAUCUUCUCUUAUCAGUCCCUUAAUUUCUUAUUUCCCCAGUAUUUUGUCAAACUGACUGUGUUUUCCAAUAGGGCCUUUUCGAGCAGAAUUCCAAUGUUCUGUAUCAACUUUUGCCUCCUUGUUCACAUGUCACCAAUUAUUACCAUAUCAAUUCACAAAUUCAAUUUCAUUUGCCUCAUCAUUACUUGCAUCCUCAACUUCAGACGCUGAAUAGUCCAAAUCCUCAAAUUCAGAAUCAGAAGAGCCACUUGACUUAUCUUCCUCUCUUUUCCAACUUUUAUCUCUUACAGUUCUUUCUUCCCCUUUAUUGAUGGAUGAUGCAGCCCGCCUUUUCGACCAAGAACGUAAAGCUCCACCAGCUGCUUUUCUUGGCUUUUCAAUAGCUUUAUUCAUAAGAUGAAUAUACCU
rnacentral:misc_RNA from 1 species